rnacentral:rRNA from 1 species
UACGAACUGCGCGAACGUUAUUCGGAAUCACUGGGCUUACAGGGUGCGUAGGCGGCUUUUCAGGUCCGAUGUGAAAUCCCACAGUUCAACUGUGGAAUGGCAUUGGAAACCGGAUCGCUGGAGUGAGCUAGAGGUGCACGGAACUUUCGGUGGAGCGGUGAAGUGUGUUGAGAUCGGAAGGAACACCAGAGGCGAAGGCGGUGCACUGGGGCUUGUCUGACGCUGAGGCACGAAAGCCAGGGGAGCGAACGGG